AAUGAACGCUGGCGGCAUGCCUAACACAUGCAAGUCGAACGAAGCCUUCGGGCUUAGUGGCGCACGGGUGCGUAACGCGUGGGAAUCUGCCCUUGGGUUCGGAAUAACAGUUGGAAACGACUGAUAAUACCGGAUGAUGACGUAAGUCCAAAGAUUUAUCGCCCAAGGAUGAGCCCGCGUAGGAUUAGCUAGUUGGUGAGGUAAAGGCUCACCAAGGCGACGAUCCUUAGCUGGUCUGAGAGGAUGAUCAGCCACACUGGGACUGAGACACGGCCCAGACUCCUACGGGAGGCAGCAGUGGGGAAUAUUGGACAAUGGGCGAAAGCCUGAUCCAGCAAUGCCGCGUGAGUGAUGAAGGCCCUUAGGGGUGUAAAAGCUUCUUU
rnacentral:rRNA from 1 species